GGAUGUGAAGGCGAUCUGGCUGCGACAUCUGUCACCCCAUCGAUUGCCAGGGUUGAUUCAGCUGAUCUGGCUGGCUAGGCGGGUGUCCCCGUCCUCCCUCAACGAUCCGUGUGCAUCCAGCCCGAAGCUGUGUGCUUGGUUGAAGAGGACGACCACCCGAUAGAGGAGGGCCGUUCCGCGGUCAAGGGUGUCUGAGUAGCUGCGCCCCCUGCUAGAACCUCCAAACAAAUAUAGUUCAGAAGUAAGGAAAGGGAUAUGCAGCCUUGCAUUUCUUGUUUUGGUGAACCAAAAUAUGGCAGCUCUUUGUCCUUCUUU
rnacentral:snRNA from 1 species